rnacentral:sRNA from 1 species
UAUCUCUCUGUACGGGAAGGAUGAGAAGCUUCGACUAAGGUUCGAUUCGAGCGCAGCGAGAAAGCGUUGCCGCAGGCAACGACCCGAAGGGCGAAGCGCGCAGCGCUGAGUAAUCCUUCCCCCACCACC